rnacentral:rRNA from 1 species
GACGGAGGGUGCUAGCGUUGUUCGGAAUCACUGGGCGUAAAGGGUGCGUAGGCGGGUCUUUUAAGUCAGGGGUGAAAUCCUGGAGCUCAACUCCAGAACUGCCUUUGAUACUGAAGAUCUUGAGUUCGGGAGAGGUGAGUGGAACUGCGAGUGUAGAGGUGAAAUUCGUAGAUAUUCGCAAGAACACCAGUGGCGAAGGCGGCUCACUGGCCCGAUACUGACGCUGAGGCACGAAAAGCGUG